rnacentral:rRNA from 1 species
GACGAACGCUGGCGGCGUGCCUAAUACAUGCAAGUCGAACGCAGUGGGGACGGGUGAGUAACACGUGGGUAACCUCCCAUCAGAGGGGAUAACACUUGGAAACAGGUGCUAAACCGAUACUGAUGGAUGGACCCGCUGUGCAUUAGCUAGUUGUUGAGGUAACGGCUCACCAAGGCCACGAUGCAUAGCCGACUGGAGAGGGUGAGCGGCCACACUGGGACUGAGACACGGCCCAGACUCCUACGGGAGUCAGCAGUAGGGAAGCUUCGGCAAUGGACGAAAGUCUGACCGAGCAACGCCGCGUGUGUGAAGAAGGUCUUCGGAUCGUAAAACUCUUUUGUUAGAGAAGCGGUAUCUAACCAGAAAGCCACGGCUAACUACGUGCCAGCAGCCGCGGUAAUAC